CCUACGGGUGGCAGCAGUGGGGAAUAUUGCGCAAUGGGCGAAAGCCUGACGCAGCGACGCCGCGUGAGGGAUGAAGGUCUUCGGAUCGUAAACCUCUGUCAGCAGGGAAGAACGGUCACUGUGCUAAUCAGCAGUGAAUUGACGGUACCUGCCAAGGAAGCCCCGGCUAACUCCGUGCCAGCAGCCGCGGUAAUACGUAGGGUGCGAGCGUUACUCGGAGUUAUUGGGCGUAAAGCGCUCGUAGGCGGUAUGUCAAGUCAAGGGUGAAAUCCCCGGGCUCAACCGGGGACCUGCCUUUGAAACUGGGAAACUGGAGUGUGUGAGAGGAUAGUGGAAUUCGAGGUGUAGGGGUGAAAUGCGUAGAUAUCUGGAGGAACAUCAGUGGCGAAGGCGACUAUCUGGCACAUAACUGACGCUGAGGAGCGAAAGCGUGGGUAGCAAACAGGAUUAGAUACCCGAGUAGUC
rnacentral:rRNA from 1 species